UACGUAGGGGGCGAGCGUUGUCCGGAAUCAUUGGGCGUAAAGCGCGCGUAGGCGGCCCUGUAAGUCCGUUGUGAAAGUCAAAGGCUCAACCUUUGAAAGCCGAUGGAUACUGCAGGGCUAGAGUCCGGAAGAGGCGAGUGGAAUUCCUGGUGUAGCGGUGGAAUGCGCAGAUAUCAGGAGGAACACCCAUAGCGAAGGCAGCUCGCUGGGACGGUACUGACGCUAAGGCGCGAAAGCGUGGGGAGCGAACAGG
rnacentral:rRNA from 1 species